AACGCUGGCGGCGUGCCUAAUACAUGCAAGUCGAGCGAACGGACGAGAAGCUUGCUUCUCUGAUGUUAGCGGCGGACGGGUGAGUAACACGUGGAUAACCUACCUAUAAGACUGGGAUAACUUCGGGAAACCGGAGCUAAUACCGGAUAAUAUUUUGAACCGCAUGGUUCAAAAGUGAAAGACGGUCUUGCUGUCACUUAUAGAUGGAUCCGCGCUGCAUUAGCUAGUUGGUAAGGUAACGGCUUACCAAGGCAACGAUGCAUAGCCGACCUGAGAGGGUGAUCGGCCACACUGGAACUGAGACACGGUCCAGACUCCUACGGGAGGCAGCAGUAGGGAAUCUUCCGCAAUGGGCGAAAGCCUGACGGAGCAACGCCGCGUGAGUGAUGAAGGUCUUCGGAUCGUAAAACUCUGUUAUUAGGGAAGAACAUAUGUGUAAGUAACUGUGCACAUCUGACGGUACCUAAUCAGAAAGCCAC
rnacentral:rRNA from 1 species